rnacentral:rRNA from 1 species
AUUGAACGCUGGCGGCAUGCCUUACACAUGCAAGUCGAACGGUAACAGGUCUUCGGAUGCUGACGAGUGGCGAGCGGGUGAGUAAUGCAUCGGAACGUGCCCAGUAGUGGGGGAUAGCCCGGCGAAAGCCGGAUUAAUACCGCAUACGACCGGAGGGUGAAAGGGGGGGAUCGCAAGACCUCUCGCUAUUGGAGCGGCCGAUGUCAGAUUAGCUAGUUGGUGGGGUAAAGGCCUACCAAGGCAACGAUCUGUAGUUGGUCUGAGAGGACGACCAGCCACACUGGGACUGAGACACGGCCCAGACUCCUACGGGAGGCAGCAGUGGGGAAUUUCGGACAAUGGGCGCAAGCCUGAUCCAGCAAUGCCGCGUGCAGGAAGAAGGCCUUCGGGUUGUAAACUGCUUUUGUCAGGGAAGAAAUCUUCUGGGCUAAUACCCUGGGAGGAUGACGGUACCUGAAGAAUAAGCACCGGCUAACUACGUGCCAGCAGCCGCCGUAAUAC